UACAGAGGGGGCAAGCGUUAUUCGGAAUUAUUGGGCGUAAAGGGCGCGUAGGCGGCCUGACAAGUGGAAGGUGAAAUCCCUCGGCUUAACCGAGGAACUGCCCUCCAAACUGUUUGGCUUGAGACCGGGAGAGGUGAGUGGAAUUCCCAGUGUAGCGGUGAAAUGCGUAGAUAUUGGGAGGAACACCAGUGGCGAAGGCGGCUCACUGGACCGGUACUGACGCUGAUGCGCGAAAGCGUGGGGAGCAAACAGG
rnacentral:rRNA from 1 species